rnacentral:lncRNA from 1 species
UCGGUCAUUGACCUAUCCAAGGAUCGAGGAACAAAUCACACAUGCAUCAACAUCUUCAGUUCUUUGAACGAAAACGAACUUUAAAAGCGACAUAAAGACAUGGACACUUACAGUAUCAUGAUCAUUCGCUUGCGACAUUUAUAACAUACAUGAGCAUGCAAUCGUCUUUAAAACACUGAUCACCAAUGCCGGAAUACUGAUUCUCAAUCACUUGCGUUACAAGCCUCUUGCCAAGCAGAGUCGAUCUUAACUACAAAACAAGGGAUCAGAAUCUUUCUUUGGUGGACGGAACACAUACGCUUCCCUAGCCAUUCGUGUUCUUUUGGGAUUUUUCUCUUGUACACACGCAUUGGCCCUCCCUCCUUUGCCUGUCUGGACCUCGUCAACAACACUAGGGUAUGUCCCCAACGUCCCAUCUAAAGGUUUUGUGGGCCCCACUCCUCCCUUCUGGGAGGACAUACCACGCGGGUUCCUUUUUCUUCGGCCACCUGUGCAGAGGUCUUCAGUCUUGAGGAAUCCUUUUUUCUUCUUAUUCCUUCCCUUUCUCACUCACUUAUAAAUCUGGUAAGUUUUUACACAAUCCGUUAACAAGACACGUAAAGAACCCGUUAAUAACAGAUCUUUAACAGAUUUACACAAGAAUGACA